UGCUGCAGAGAGACCCUUGGUGCUGCUCUCCUUCCCAGCACAAGAGAGCAGGCGAGCAUGAAGUCUCACGAGGGAGAGCUGGUGAGGGAGAUCUCCAAGGUACUUUAUAACAAGCCCACAGUAAACAGCCGCUCAUCGCCAUACACACAAUGCUGAGCAAGCAAAUGCACACACGUAUCCAACAAAUCACAAUGUCACCCUGUAUUCACACGUCAAACGCGAGAGAGCCACACCACCUCUCACUGGAAUAUGAUGAUUGAUUUGUUUCAACCAGUACCCAGACCUAGUACAGGCUCUUCUGUGCGAAUUUCAUUGUGUCACGUGUAACCGUCGCCGUUUGUUGUUGUUGUUGUUGUUGUUGCAUUGUGCUCGUGCGUUACAUUGUGUGUGUGUGUGUGUUGCGUUGUGCGCUGUGCUGCUCAGCUGCAGGGCAUCGUGUCGGAGCUGAAGGCUGGCUUCUCGCGGGCGCUGCUGGAGCUCAGCCACAUCCAGCACGGGGACAGCCGACUGCAGAGCCAGCUGCAGGAGACCCAGAGCUGUUGCCACAAGCGCGCCCUGCACCUGGAGGCCAUGGUGCAGUCUCUCAGGGAAGAGCUAGAGGAGGUCCGUGCUCAGAUUAGGCUACUAUAUGGCGACCGCUUCAAACCAGACCAGGAGUCAAAGACGCCACAGUCUGCUGAAGCCCGUGCUCAAGGGUCAGGGGUCACACAGGGAGACAGUGGGAGCGGGCACAGCUCAAACAUGUGCCAGCGUGAGGAUGGAGGAUGCCAGUGCCAGUCUAGCGGGAGCUCCGCAUCUGUGUCGUCCACUGCGUCUCUGAAGGCAGGUCUGCUGCUGCACUGCUACCUGCAGGGCCUCCGUGCGGGCCAGUGCCUGAGCACAGGUGAGCAGCUAUCCAGUCAUCUAUUCUCUAAUGAAUGCAUCUAUACAGCCAUCCAUCCAUCCGUUCAAUCAAUUCAUCUAUAUAUCCAUUUACUCAUUCAUCACUCCACUUAGCCUUGUAUUCACCCAACCAUCCAUCACUCCAUUUACCCAUCUUACCCAAAUGUCUACCUAUCCAUCCAUCCAUCCAUCCAUUCACCCGUCUUCAAUGUGGUUUUUUUUCUCUCUCUUCAGACGGUACAGUCAGUUGUCAAGUGGUGCCCAUGUGUGUGAGGGUUCCUCAGGCUGUGAUUGGUCCCUGGGGAGGAGAGGUGCCACGCCCCUGCUCUCUUGAGGGUAGGAGGCAGCAGGUAAUUGUGCAGUUGUUGCAGUCGGAGUGGGAGUACGUGUCCAGCCUGGGCCAACUCUAUGACAAAUACAAAUCCCCACCUGAACAGGCCAGUGACGUGGAGCCACAUAAGGUAUUUCUGAGACAUGUGGAGCAGAUGCUGCAGCGCCACCUAGUGUUCAGAAACGCCCUGGAGGAGAGGCUGGCUGCAGACCAGUGGAGGUGUCUAGUGGGGGAUGUAUUUAGCAAACUCACAGGCCAUGGAGAGGCAGCGUUCUCCGAGGCGUAUCUGGGCUACGUGUCCACUCUGCCAACCAUCCUCAACGCAGAGAUCAGCAAGGUACAGCCAGGAGCAAAGACUCACAACACCCAGGUGAGAAAGGUCUACACACCUCCACACAAAGGUGUCUCUUUUAUGUGUGUGUGCAGCGUAAAGUUGUCUGGGCAUGGUUGAUGAAGGCCUAAUAUUGUCACUUGACACUAACAUGUUGUGAUGAUUGUGUCCUGUGUGUGUGUGUGUGUGUGUGUGUGUGUGUGUGUGUGUGUGUGUGUGUGUGUGUGUGUGUGUGUGUGUGUGUGUGUGUGUGUGUGUGUGUGUGUGUGUGUGUGUGUGUGUGUGUGUGUGUGUGUGUGUGUGUGUGUGUGUGUGUCCUGUCCGUCCAUGUUGGCUACAGGGUUGCCAGGAGAAGAAAGAGGGGGCAGGGCUUAUAUCAUUACUGUUCUCACCUGUCUCAAGGAUCCACAGCUACUUGAGCAUCAUACAGGUGUGCUCUCUCUCUCUGUUUCUCUCUCUGUUUCUCUCCUUCUCUCUCUGUCUCUCUCUCUCUCUUUCUCUCUCUCUUACACACACAUAUUCAAUCUAAUAAAAUCACAAUGAGGUUAGGCUUCUCUCUCUCU
ensembl:lncRNA